rnacentral:rRNA from 1 species
UACGUAGGGGGCAAGCGUUGUCCGGAAUUAUUGGGCGUAAAGAGCUCGUAGGCGGUUUGUCGCGUCUGCUGUGAAAACUCGGGGCUUAACCCCGGGCCUGCAGUGGGUACGGGCAGACUAGAGUGCGGUAGGGGAGACUGGAAUUCCUGGUGUAGCGGUGAAAUGCGCAGAUAUCAGGAGGAACACCGGUGGCGAAGGCGGCCUGCUGGGCAGUUUGGCUGACACUGAGGCGCGACAGCGUGGGGAGCAAACAGG